rnacentral:rRNA from 1 species
CCUACGGGAGGCAGCAGUGGGGAAUAUUGCACAAUGGGGGAAACCCUGAUGCAGCGACGCCGCGUGAGUGAAGAAGUAUUUCGGUAUGUAAAGCUCUAUCAGCAGGGACGAAUAAAUGACGGUACCUGACUAAGAAGCCCCGGCUAACUACGUGCCAGCAGCCGCGGUAAU